AUACGGAGGGGGCAAGCGUUGUUCGGAAUUAUAGGGCGUAAAGGGCGCGUAGGCGGUUUGGUUAGUCAGUCGUGAAAUCCCUCGGCUCAACCGAGGAACUGCGAUUGAUACUGCCGAACUUGAGUCCCGGAGAGGGUAGUGGAAUUCCCAGUGUAGCGGUGAAAUGCGUAGAUAUUGGGAGGAACAUCGGUGGCGAAGGCGGCUACCUGGACGGGUACUGACGCUGAAGGGCGAAAGCGUGGGGAGCAAACAGGAUUAGAAACCCCAGUAGUCC
rnacentral:rRNA from 1 species